rnacentral:misc_RNA from 1 species
ACUCGCGGAGGGGAAUACCAGCCAGACAUAAAAUUAUCGAAUAUCAACCCUAUCAAACGGAGAGUCAACAGAGGAAUUGCAUGCCCCAUUAAAAAUUGACUUGCCAGUUUCGAGAGUGAAGCUGCUGGCGGCCAAGAUUUCUUCCUCGGCGACAUCAUCUGUGGUGAGGAGUUCCAGAAGAGCAUGAGCAGGGGUGGAUAAAUGAUGAAUCGAGAGACAUCCGCUCUCCGUUUCGCCGGCAAUGAGCCUCUUCGGCGCAGUAAACACGUAGCCCCUGUUAAACGAGUUUCUAUUUUAAUGACGUGGGCAGUUAAUGACUGCAACUUUAAAUCCGUUGGAUGCAUGAAAUGGAUGAAAAUGAUACCGUCAAAAUUAAUCGAGACCUAUUUGGUUAUCGCUGCGGUGUGAAAUUUGAAAAAAGAUCCAAGUACAGAAGCGUGAUACUCCGAUGCGCGCAUUUGUUGAACGACUUAAACGUUG